UUGUCUGUUUUCUUUUAUGUGUGUGAAUUAAUUUANAUGUUUUUNACCUCGGGUUUGUGCGGCGUUAAAAGCCGUGGUUAAUCUUUCCUGUCCGUGCCGUGUCCUCGCCCUNACGCGGUGCGAGCCGCCCCCCUCAUUCGCCCNGGUNCUGGGCGCCCCNNGGUCUACCUGUAGUUACCCGNCCUGCCCACAAUGUUUUUUUCCUGGGGGCGCCGGCGCCCCCAGAACCCCCGUAGUGAACCUGCGGAGGGAUCAUUGCUGGAACGCGCCACCAGGCGCACCCAGAAACCCUUUGUGAACUUAUACCUUACUGUUGCCUCGGCGCAGGCCGGCCCCUAUGGGGCCCCUCACCCCGGUGAGGAGCAGGCCCGCCGGCGGCCAAGUUAACUCUGUUUUUACGCUGAAACUCUGAGUACAAAACAUAAAUGAAUCAAAACUUUCAACAACGGAUCUCUUGGUUCUGGCAUCGAUGAAGAACGCAGCGAAAUGCGAUAAGUAAUGUGAAUUGCAGAAUUCAGUGAAUCAUCGAAUCUUUGAACGCACAUUGCGCCCUCUGGUAUUCCGGAGGGCAUGCCUGUUCGAGCGUCAUUUCAACCCUCAAGCCUGGCUUGGUGUUGGGGCACUGCCUCCUCGCGGGGGCAGGCCCUGAAAUACAGUGGCGAGCUCGCCAGGACUCCGAGCGCAGUAGUUAAACCCUCGCUCUGGAAGGCCUGGCGGUGCCCUGCCGUUAAACCCCAACUUCUGAAAAUUGACCUCGAUCAGUAGAAACCCGCUGA
rnacentral:rRNA from 1 species